CACUCCUGGAGCUCAGCCGAGAACCCACCCUCUCAUAUUGUGGGUUCUCAGCCCCUUGUGUGACUCUCUGCCUAGGUACCUGGAGGGGUCACUGCCCCGGUUGCCCCACCAGACAGGAUGCUGUCUCCACCAAGGUAACCCAUUGUUCCAGGGUGGAGAGGCAGUGAGUCGGGGAUACGAUGGCGGAAGGGGAGGCGACCUCCCUCUGGGAUUCGAAUCCAGCCCUCCCACCUGGCAGUCAUGGGACCUCCCUAAGCGGUUUAACUGCCAAGUCCCAGAUCCCAUCUGUGAAGCCAGCCCUCCGACCAUGGCCUCUCGCAGGACCCCUGGGAAUCACCCUCAUCUGUCACUGUUUCCCCACCGGGACCCACCACCGAGGCUACCAGGGAAAAGCCACAGGAUUUGUUUGCAUCUGGGGAGGCAGCUCCACCUUCCUGGCAUGAAUGGUCACUAAUGAUUGGACUUUGUCAGCCUGCAAGGCAGGAAGGAGAUUUACUCUCCACAGACUGGACAGUCCUUAGCUUUGUGCUUGCCACAUAAAUGGCAUUUAAUACAUGCUCCCUGGACUCAGCACCACUCCUGAAGGCCUGUAUUGUGGUCAGCAGUUAUCAUUUCUUCCACAAAUGAGCUCAUUCUUCUCCUCUCAGGAUCAACCCUUUCGCCUUCACUGAGGCAUCAGACACCAGCAUUCGGAGGGACACCCACUCCAUCCUCUUCUCUCAGCUGCCUGUGGAAAUUCCCAUCUCAAACACGUGACUCCCCACAGAGUGGCACUCACUGAUCACGGAUCUUAACUUUAAAAGGUGAAAAAUAAGUCAAGGCUUAAGGUAAAGUAACGGGAGGUGUGGAUGUCUGAGCAAUGCGGUGAACCGAGUCACGGGGCCGCGGAGAUGUUCGCAGCUGGGACUUUCCAGGCCUCCCGAACGCAGAGCGCCCGAAGCCAUCAGUGGCCACAGAGUGUGUUUCAGGUGUGAUUUGGGGUCAUUUAUGCCAAUUUUAUUCUUCUUUUAUUUCCAUCUGGUUUUCUUUCUAUAAAUUGCAUACGUCAUGCAUGCUACGUUUUAUAGUCAUCCGUGUGACAUCCGUCUCGCACAGUGAGUUAAGGAGGACGUUCCGCUACAGCUGUACUUUUUACUCAGCAAAAUAAAAAAAGAAUAAAGAUGAGCUUGAAACUCCUUUGGAAUCACUACAUUAUCUGUUGCUUAGCAAAAGCAAUCCAUGAAUAACACACAUGUACACACAUGAUACACAUUCAUACACACACAAAAACACGUCUGCACAUAUGUGUAUACAUACACAUAGAGACAUAGGCACACAUGCUCUGAAGGUCUGCAUGGUGGAAAAUUCUAGACAUGUUCAUUUCUACUUCCUGCCAAGCGCUGAAAACUUGGUGUGCCUGAAAAAUCACUUGGCUUCUGUAACCAGAUUUACCAAAUUAAAAAAUUAAAACUGUCCAAGUGUAGAGGCA
rnacentral:lncRNA from 1 species